UACGUAGGAGGCGAGCGUUGUCCGGAUUUACUGGGCGUAAAGCGCGUGUAGGUGGUUGGGUAAGUCCGUCGUGAAAGCUCUCGGCUCAACCGGGAGAGGUCGAUGGAAACUACUCGACUUGAGGACGGUAGAGGGGGGUGGAAUUCCCGGUGUAGUGGUGAAAUGCGUAGAUAUCGGGAGGAACACCAGUGGCGAAGGCGGCCCCCUGGGCCGCUCCUGACGCUGAGACGCGAAGGCCAGGGUAGCGAACGGG
rnacentral:rRNA from 1 species